rnacentral:rRNA from 1 species
CUCUUUAGCUUGGCAUUUGAAUCGGCUUUGCUGUUGCGAAGUAGAGUGGCGGCUUCGGCUGCCGAGGGUCGAUCCAUUUGGGAAAUGUUGUGUACUUCGGUAUGCAUCUCAAUUGGACCUGAUAUCAGGCAAGAUUACCCGCUGAACUUAAGCAUAUUAAUAAGCGGAGGAAAAGAAACUAACAAGGAUUCCCCUAGUAACGGCGAGUGAAGCGGGAAGAGCUCAAGCUUAAAAUCUCCGUGCAAGUUUUGCGCGGCGAAUUGUAGUCUAUAGAGGCGUGAUCAGUGUGGGCGCUUGGGGCAAGUUCCUUGGAAGAGGACAGCAUGGAGGGUGAUACUCCCGUUCAUCCCUGAGUUGCUCGUGCGUACGAUCCGUUUUCUUUGAGUCGCGUUGUUUGGGAAUGCAGCGCAAAGUAGGUGGUAAAUUCCAUCUAAAGCUAAAUAUUGGUGCGAGACCGAUAGCGAACAAGUACCGUGAGGGAAAGAUGAAAAGAACUUUGAAAAGAGAGUUAAAGAGUACCUGAAACUGCUGAAAGGGAACCGAAUCGUUUCCAGUGUCUAUAAUCCGUGGUAUAUUUCAUUGGCGAGUGUGUGCGUGCGUGUGCUGUGGCAGCGGCUUUUUUGGCUGCGCUCGGCGUGUGUGCUGUGUGUGCUUGCUGGUGCCCUGUGCUGCGGUGGGACGUCAAGGUCAGUUCGUAUGCUGCGGGAAAUGGCCGCCGAGGAGGUAGGGCUUACGCUUGCGUUUGUCUGUUAUAUCUUGGUGGACGAGUAGUCGCGGUUGGGACUGAGGUGCCUACAACGUGUUUUUGAGUGGGCCUGUGUCUCUGUGUGCGCCGUGUGCGGAUAGCUUGCUAUGCGUGUGUGGUUGUGUGUGGAUUGAUGUGGGUUUUAACUUGUUGCCGUUCGGGACGUUGACGAAAUGGAGCGAUUUGACCCGUCUUGAAACACGGACCAAGGAGUCUAACAUGUGUGCAAGUGUUAGGGUGUGGAAACCCCAGCGCGAAAUGAAAGUGAAGGGCAGCGUAAGUUGUCUGAGGUAGGAAAUGCUGCGGGCUUCGGUCUGCGGUGUGGCACUAUCGACCGAUCAUGAACCUUCGUGGUGAAAGAUUUGAGUUUGAGCACAUAUGUUGGUACCCGAAAGAUGGUGAACUAUGCCUGAGUAGGGUGAAGCCAGGGGAAACUCUGGUGGAAGCUCGUAGCGAUUCUGACGUGCAAAUCGAUCGUCAAACUUGGGUAUAGGGGCGAAAGACUAAUCGAACCAUCUAGUAGCUGGUUCCCUCCGAAAUUUCCCUCAGGAUAGCAGCAACUUAUUUACGAUAGUUUUAUGAGGUAAAGCGAAUGAUUAGAGGAUUCGGGGAAGAAACUUCCUCGACCUAUUCUCAAACUUUAAAUCUGUAAGACCUGCAGGUUUCUUAAUUGAACUUGUGGAUGUGAAUAUCAAGUUGCUAGUGGGCCAUACGGGGUAAAGCUCGUCUGGCGAUGCGGGAUGAACCGAACGCAAAGUUAAAGUGCCAAAAUGCUCGCUCACCUAGAUACCAUAAAAGGUGUUGGUUCAUUUAGACAGCAGGACGGUGGCCAUGGAAGUCGGAAUCCGCUAAGGAGUGUGUAACAACUCACCUGCCGAAUGAACUAGCCCUGAAAAUGGAUGGCGCUAAAGCGGGCUACCUAUACUUUGCCGUUAGCGCGAUAGCAUUUAUAAUGUACGCGUUAAUGAGUAGGAGGGCGUGAAGGUCGUGAAGAAGCUCGUGGGCGUGAGCCUGAGUGAAACGGCCUUUAGUGCAGAUCUUGGUGGUAGUAGCAAAUAUUCAAAUGCGAACUUUGAAGACUGAAGUGGAGAAAGGUUCCGUGUGAUCAGUAAUUGGACACGGGUGAGUCGAUUCUUAAGAGAUAGGAUAAUUCCGUUUGAAAGC